rnacentral:lncRNA from 1 species
CAACAGCCUCAGCAAGCUGUUAAAGGGAUCUGAAAAACAAGCCUUAAAGAUGACAGCCACCUGCCAGCGUUCUUGGGAAGAGCAAAUGAGAACAGGUAGUUUCCUCUGCCUGCAAAGAAGCCGGAUUGAAGUCGUUGGCAUGACAACUCUUUGUAAGGGGCCAGGGGGUGGAUGGGAAUGUGUCACUAAGGAAGAUGCUUGAGGCAGAAAAUAUUGAUUUUCAACCCAACAGCCAUGUGCCCUCUUCCACGCCCCACCCUGACCUGAUCGGCUGAAGCAAACAUGUGGCCUUGUCCCCUUUUGUCUGUUCCUGGCUUAGGCAUGGACAUAUGACCCAGUUCUGGCCCAAGAAAUGUGAGACGUCUCCUGGGGGCUUCUGGGAAAGGGUUCUUAGCUUCUAUAAAGAGACACAAGGAAGAGACAGUGCCGUUUUCACCUCUGGAUGUUGUGUGGGUAUUUGCCUGGAGCCGUGGCAGCCAUCUUGAGACCAUGAGGGGUGACACUGAGGAUGACAGUAAGAAAUACAGGAAGAACCUGAGUCCUUGGUGCCAUCAUGGAGCUGUUGAAUUAACUGGUCCUGGCAUGGCUCUCCCUCUGGCUGUCCUGAUAGGGGAGAUGAUCAAUUUCUUCCCCACUGAAGGCCUCUUGUUUGGGCUUCCUGCUAUUUCCAACCAAGCGCAUCUCAACUGACACAAUGUUUGAAGCCUCCAAAUCACGCGGAGAGAAGUAACAGGCGGACCACUGGCUGGUCAGUCGAGUCGAGGUGGAAUUCCAUAGUUAGGAACCCACUGUUGCCUCCUCAUCAACCGGCACCUACACAGUGAGAAGUUCUGCUUCCUCUUUUAUACGCAAACCACGAGGGCGCCAGCCUUUGCCCGCCGCCUCGAAGGAAAUGAGCUUCUUCACGAGGACCCACCCAGGGAGUUUCGAGAUGAGCGCCCCCAGAGAUAGAACGGAAGCAGUCACGCGGCCUCCUUACCUCCAGGCUUCUCCCAGUGCCGCUUGCCCUCUUCCCUCUGCCUCACGUGUUCAGCAGGGGCCACAUAAGCACCUGCCGCUUGAGAUCGUUUUGGGGACGAAUGAGCCAAUGACUGUGACGUGCUUGCAGCAGCGCCCACACGUAAUCAGCAAUCAGUAAGUGUGGCCGUUGUGAUAAGCACGUCUUCUCCUCUCGGACAGGAGCCGCGGGGUCUGCCUCACCCACGGCCUCUCCUCCCGGCUGGACCCCACCGUCCGUGCCUGUUACCCGUGGGGAGUCUCAACAGGAAGGCAGAAGCCUGCUGUAAAGAAUUCGGGGACUCCAUGUCGGGUCAGCAGCUGCGAAGAGUCCCGGGCCACAGGAAGCCUCUGGGACCCCAGCCUCCACCCGCCCUUUCCUGAGCCCUAAGAGAAACAGAGCCCUGGAUAAUGUGCCCAAUUACAAACAGCAUUUCCCGGCUUCCCUUGUGGCUGACUACGCCACAGGACUGCGUUCUCACCAACGUACGUGGAAGGGUGGCAGGGCACUUCCAAGGAGUCUUCUUAAAGAGACCUGACUCAACGGGAGGUGAGCCCCUUUUGUUCUUUCUUCCUUCCUAUUGCCUGGAAGGUAGGCUUGAUGGCUGGAGCUCCAGCAGCCAUCUUCGACUAUGAGAUGACUUUGAGAAUGGAAGCCAUAUGCUGGGAGAAUGAAAUAGAAAUAUGGAAGAAGCUCGAGUCCCUGAUGACAUCACAGAGCCACUGUGCCAGCCUUGGGCUGCCUAUUUCCAGGCUUCUUUUACAUGAGGAAGAAAUAAACUUAGUGGAUCUUAAAUGUUCUCACCAUGGAAAAGAAGCUGUAAUUAUGAGACAUGAUGGAGGUGUUGGCUUACGCAACGGUGUGAUCAUCCUGCAACAUAUACGCGUAUCAGAUUAACACAUUGUGCCCUUGUGAUGACACUGGGCCACCCAGACGAACCAGGACCUCCCUUGUCCCACGAUCCCUAACUGAGUCACACCUGCAAAGCCCCUUUGCCGCGCGAGGUCCACUCACAUGGCCAUUUCCAGAUUCCGGGAUUCGGACGUGGACGUCUUUGGGGGCCAUUGUGUGUCUGUCCUGGUCCCCGUGAGUCUUCGCUCCAGCGCCCCCUUCUCGGUGAGCACUAUUUUAAUUCUGCAGCUUGUCCGACCCCCCGGCCUCCAGAUGCCCUUUCCCAGCUCUGCUUUCCCUUCUGACGAAGUGAGGAAUUCCCUAUCGCAUUGCGUUUCUCUCCUGCUGCCUCGUAGGACGUCAG